UGUUCAUUUCAUGAGUUUCUCGCUCAGUCUUCGAGGUUUUACUUUUGAUUGAGUUAUUUUACUUAACCUUUGUCAAAUCAACGGAAAUCUGAAUUACCCUGUGGCGAAGAAUGUAUAUUCGCUUCAAAACAUCCUAUAGCACUUCGUUAAUUGUCUACAAAAAGAGACACUUGACUUGCAGGCAAAUAUCACCAAAUUCCGUAUAAAAACAGUCCACACUAGACCCAAAUCAUCGCAGUUCGAGCUCGCCUUUCUCCAUUGAUUCAAGGCUUUUCUAAACAUCCCUAACAUGAGCAAAUUGUUCCUCCUUGCUCUGGUGGCCUUUGCCUUUAUUGCCCUUGGGGUCGAGGUUGAAUCGGGAGAAGUUCCUGCCGGUGGGUCUUGCAAGGUUGAUGAAGAUUGCUCCGAAGGUCUCACGUGCCAAAAGUGGAAAAGGAGAAUGUCGAUUUGUCGACCAGAGAAAUGUGUCGAGGAGAAUGAACCAUGUGGCAAAAGCAAUGGAAGUUGUUGCAAAGGAAUGAAAUGUUCGUUUAAGGCCAAUGAGAAUGGAAUUGGUUUCAGCCGAAGAUGUUUGACACGCAAAUCAACCUUUAUGCAAUCCAAGCCCUAAUCAUAUGGUUCGACCGCUUUUAUGAUAAGUCUAUUUCCGAAACUGUCCUAUUUCGUGCAUUCUGUACCAUGUCAUGCUUUAAGAAAUAAAGAUCUGAUCAAUCAAAUUUGCCCAUGAGGCAUUAA